rnacentral:rRNA from 1 species
UGGGGAAUAUUGGACAAUGGGCGCAAGCCUGAUCCAGCCAUGCCGCGUGAGUGAUGAAGGCCUUAGGGUUGUAAAGCUCUUUCGCCGGUGAAGAUAAUGACGGUAACCGGAGAAGAAGCCCCGGCUAACUUCGUGCCAGCAGCCGCGGUAAUACGAAGGGGGCUAGCGUUGCCCGGAAUCACUGGGCGUAAAGCGCACGUAGGCGGAUCGUUAAGUCAGGGGUGAAAUCCUGGAGCUCAACUCCAGAACUGCCCUUGAUACUGGCGAUCUCGAGUUCGAGAGAGGUUGGUGGAACUCCGAGUGUAGAGGUGAAAAUUCGUAGAUAUUCGGAAGAACACCAGUGGCGAAGGCGGCCAACUGGCUCGAUACUGACGCUGAGGUGCGAAAGCGUGGGGAGCAAAACAGGAUUAGAUACCCUGGUAGUCCACGCCGUAAAACGAUGGAUGCUAGCCGUUGGGGGGUUUACCUCUCAGUGGCGCAGCUAACGCCUUAAGCAUCCCGCCUGGGGAGUACGGUCGCAAGAUUAAAAACUCAAAGGAAUUGACGGGGGUCAUAGCUGUUUCCU